rnacentral:rRNA from 1 species
UACGGAGGGGGCAAGCGUUGUUCGGAAUUACUGGGCGUAAAGGGCGCGCAGGCGGCUGCUCAAGUCAGGCGGGAAAGGCCUGGGCUCAACCCGGGAAUUGCGCUUGAGACUGGGCUGGCUUGAGUGCGGGAGAGGAUGGUGGAAUUCCCAGUGUAGAGGUGAAAUUCGUAGAUAUCGGAAGGAACACCGGUGGCGAAGGCGGCGCUCUGGACCGAGACUGACGCUGAGGCGCGAAAGCGUGGGAAGCAAACAGG